rnacentral:lncRNA from 1 species
AGUAAGGAACAUCCCUCCAUGGCCUCUGCAUCAGCUCCUGCUUCCUGACCUGCUUGAGUUCCAGUCCUGACUUCCUUUGGUGAUGAACAGCAAUGCGGAAGUGUAAGCUAAAUAAACCCUUUCCUCCCCAACUUGCUUCUUGGUCCUGAUGUUUGUGCAGGGAUAGAAACCCUGACUGAGACAGGGUAUCUGUCUAAAACCUGGCGACAGGAGACUGAUUAGCUUUCAAUGUCCUCACCUACCCCACCCUUUGUCAAAGCUUAAAGUACAAAGACAAAAAUAACUAAGUUAUUUUUCUGCUAUUUUUACAACAUCCUGUCCCAGACUCCACUCUCACCUCCAGAGUGACCCAAACUCUGCAGUCCUACAGUCACCCUGAAUUCCAGAAACAGUGGAGUGGCAUAGGCUGCUCAUCCCAGAUAAGGAGGUCCUCCUAAGUGCAAGAAUUACCAGUGGCUGGGAACUGGAUCUGCCUCCACACCCAGUUGGGAGCAAUCACCCCUUGGGAACUGGAUUGUCCCUCAACUUCGUAAGGACAUCUCUGAAGCUACAUUUUGGAACCAGAACUGAGAUAAUGGUGAGUUGUGUCCCAGUUUGAGCAAGCCUGCUUAAAUAAGCCUCUUCUUACCUCAACCCUGUUUUUCUCUACUUAGAGGAAAAACUACUAUCUGCACCCCAAAACGGGCUGGAGUAGUUGGUCUCCAUCUUUCUUUGACAUGGCCUUGGUGAUAAAAAUCCCUCCAUCCUUUCCUUUGUCUUUCUUUGGCGGGUAGGGGAUGUGUAUAUGUAUAUGAUGUGUGUGUGUGUGUGUGUGUGUGUGUGUGUGUGUGUGUAGGCCAGAGGCUGAUGUCAGGUGUCUUUCUUGACCACUCUGUACCUUCUAUUUUGAGAUAUGGUCUCCCACUUGAACCUGGGGCUCACUGGUUGGCUAGUCUAGCUGGGCAGCUUGCUCUGAGGAUCCCUCAUGCCUUCCAAGCACUGGGGUUGUAGGCAAGCCAUGACAACGGACUAGCAUUUCCAUUAACCCUGGAGAUUUGAACUCUGGUCUUCAUACUUGUAUGGCAAGCACUGUAUCCACUAGUCUACCUCCCCAGCCACCUCCUAUACCUUUUCCCAUCAACUCUGCCGGCUUUUCUUUGGGACAGGUAGCUGGAUGUGACUUGUAAUGUUUCCAGCCUAGGACUUCAGCUAUAGUUUAAUCAUCUGAUGUUCUUAGGGACCACAGGGUGAGCCUUGUUUACCUUACUUAUUUUGCAGGCUGGAGAAACUGAUGCCCAGGAGGAGUUGCACGAGAGGGGAUGGAAAAAGUAAGGGGCUGAGAUAGAGACUUGCUCUGUAACAGGUGGAUCUUACAUCCCACUCCUGGUGAUACUGAUAUACAUAUAUGUAUAUGUAUAUGUAUAUGUAUAUGUAUAUGUAUAUGUAUAUGUAUAUGUAUAUAUAUGUGUGUGUAUGUGGUUUAAUUUUCCCUUUCCCUGCUAUUACAGGGAAGACACAGCUGCCUCACUUUUGCCAGCCACACAGAACAUGAGCUCCUUGUGGCAAUCUGUAAGGAACCCUUCUCGCUCUCGAUCUCCACCCCAGAUCCCCUCUUCGGUGCCCGUGAAGCCCAAGUCAAAGCUAUUCCCAAGAUGAAAUGUCAUUAGCGUCCUCUACUCUUGGAGACAUACUCCUCCUGCCCUUUACCUCCUGUCACCACACUCUGCUUUCCACACAGCUAAUCUGAUGUAGCCACCAACAGGAUUGGGACAUGGCCUGUCAUGUGGAUUUGUUAACUCCAGCAAAGAUUAUCUAAGGUUGCUCUUGGCUAGAAAGUUUGGGUUCCCAAGUAAAAGCCAGACAAUUCUCUUCCCAGCUCUGUAAACAACUUUCCAAUGGGGAUGCCCGCUCCUGAUGCUGUAGGGCCCGAGUGUUUCCCAAGCCACCGGACAGGUCAAGCUGCCCUUUGCAAGUUGUUGCAUGCAGACUGGCCUCUUUGUUUCCCCCCUCUUUUUCCUGACAUUGUAAAUUCCAAAGAAAUGCUUAUGAUGUUAAAUGCCAGAGUCAUCUCUACCAGGAACAAGGAACAGAAAAACCCAGCAGGUCAUCAAGUCUUUCAAUCAGCAAUCUUCCUGCACAGAACCCAGAAUAUCAGUGAUUUUUUUCAGAUAACGCCAGAAUGAGCAUCAAAGAAGUGGACCACUGUAGGAGUCAAGAUUGCUCCGGCAUUUACCUAGCCAUCUGUAGCUAAAGAGUGCUGUGUUAAAUUUGAUGUGCAAGUUCCUCACUUACAGUUGUUAGGGAGGAUGGUUUGUUCUGGACAGGAAGGAAUCUAUCAGCUUCAGCUUGCUGGCUUGCUGCUGGUAAAAGCUCCUUUCUCUCCUGUCAAGCUGUUUCUCAAGUCCCCAGCUUCCUCAGGAAUCAGUAGAAUGAGCCUUCUCACAGUGAGAGACCCGGAGUUUACAGCUGUAAACUUACAGUGAGCACAUCAGGCACUAACAUGCAUGGGUGGGAUUUCCAGGCACAAGAGAGACUUGGAACAUAGAAGGGAAUCCCAUGGCCAGACUGUCAGCAUGGUGGGGGAGGAAAGAUGAAUGGAAUGUUUUGCAGUCUCCCCACCCUUUCAUCGUUCUCAGUCAGGAUGGUUCCUUAUAGCAAAAGAGACCAACAAGAGAUCAGGAACCCAAUGUUUAACAGCAUGAGUGCCUGGGUAAUAGGAAACAGAGAGUAAGAAAGAGUAAGUUCAGGCUGAAAUCCCAUCCGUUCCUAGAACAGAGAGGGGGGUGAGGGGCAAGGCUCUGCGGAAUCCUGGCAGGAUACUCAGGAAAUGCUCAGCAAACAUGAUUAACAUUUUCUGUGUGCUUCCGCUUCAUGCCUUCCCUGUUGGGCUGCGUUUCUAGUUGCGUAGAGUCAGCCAUUCCUCUUGGCGCUGAGAGGAGACACCUUAGCAAAGGAAGAUUUCCUUUUGAGAUGGAGAUUCCUCUAUAAAAAGGCUUUCUUCCGUUCUGUCAUCAGCUUCUCCUGUACCAAUAACCAGUUCAAAAUAUUCCUUACACCGUAGAGGCAUGUUGGGCGUGACAUAUACCAGCGCCCGACAGUCACAUUUUGUAGGAGCAGGUUCUGAACUCUAAGCAUCUCAUACCCCCCCCUUCCCCCACUGAUUCUUCUUUUUAACUCUUGAAAUGGCUUUGAAAAAUACUUCACCUGUUACCACAGACUUCCUUGCUCUUGGCUGGCUCACUUAGUUAUUUAGCAAACAAGUUUUCCUAGUGUCUCCAGUGCACCACGAUAGGUAUACUUAGACGGAGGCUACCAUAGCUGGAGAACAAACAAACAAACAAAAUAGGCCCUACCCUCAUAGAGCUUUUAAUCUUCUUUAAAUUCAUAACUAUAGUAAAUGAUAAGAAGCAAACUACGUAGGCUAGAGAGGAGAGAUGGCUCAGUGGUUAAGAGCACUGGUUGCUCUUCUAGAGGACCUGGGUUCAAUUCCCAGCACCCACACAGCAUCAGAAACUAUCUGUAGCUCCAGGUUCAGGAGAUCCAAUUGUCAUCUUCUGGUCUCUAGGGUACUGCAUACACGUGACAUAUAUACAUACAUGCAGGUGAAACACCCACACAUGUAAAAUAAAAAUAAAUGAAUCUUUAUAAGGAAGCAAGCUAUGAGAACACAUUAAGGAGAGUUUCUCAGUGAGGGGGGUCACAGGCUGUGGGUCUGGACUCUGGAUCUCUCAUCUUGGUCUGACUUCCAUCUUGCUGGCUCGGUUGGUUGCUUUAUUCAUCUGCUGCUGUUACUGGUGUUUUACGAUAAAAUUCCCAGUUCCCCAAGUCCUCACAGACUGGGUUCAGUAUGGCAGCUGAAGGGCAGAGAGGAAGUUCAAUCAUUGACCCCCGAGUUUAUCCCAAGUACUGAUGUGAAUUUUAGGUUCAAGCAGAGGAAGAAUUAGGGCAUUGGGAAAGAGAGGUGCCUAAUCAAGCACUUUUGGUCAGGGUGUGAUAUGGUUAAUCACUGUCUCAGGCUUGCUUCUGCAAGGUGGUUGGAAGAAGUCCUUAUUGUAUAAUAAGGGACCACUUGUUUUUCUCGAAGGGUUUGUUUCUGCUUGGGGGUAAUCUCAUCACCGGCUGAUCUGUCUUCAAAAGUCUGUUUCUAAAACCCAAGGUAGGUUUGGGACAGUGUCUGGGUUUUGUGGGGCACAGAGCCAGACCAUGGGAAAGGCUGAUGGUAAGACACCUCGGUCACUCUCAUCUUUGUGUCUUUAGUUUUGAAGCAGGACAAAAAUAGGUUAGGUGUCAUCAGGUUCAAGGGGGGACACUCCUUAAGUCAUCAAUGUGCCUAUAUGCCGAGUUCCUAAGGAGUGGCCAUUAUGCCUUCACAGAGUUCAGCUGCAGUCUAGGGUUGCUCGUUAUCAAAAUUGAGAAGAACAAAAGAAGUUACGAUAAUCCACAUUUCUGUUUCAUGGUAAAGAUUUAAGAGAGUAAUAAUAUGUACAGUUAAAACAUUUUUUAAAAUGGGCAAUUUCAUAUACUAUUGAGGAAUAUAUCACUGUAUAGCCUUCAGUGAAGAGCAACUGGUGGUUAUAGACAUCCCAUAACUAUGGAUUCCACAUUAAAGAACUCAAAUAACCAAGAACAGAAAGUAUUGGAGAUUGUUCAGGACUGAUGUAAUCCCUACCACUAUCCCCAACACACAAUAGUAAAAUAGCUGUCGACAUAACGCUCACAUUGCAUUGGUUACUAACAGUGGUCUUGAUGUGACAGUAUACCAGGGAGCAUGUGUGUGCAUUAUUUGCAAAUACUAUCCAAUCCCUGUAAGGAGCUUGUGCGUUCACAUAUUCUGGUACCUGCAGGGAAGGCACUAGAACCAAUUCCCUGUGCAUAACACCAGAUGACUGUAUACAUUAAAAUUAAAAUCUUAAAUAUGGGUUUGAUUCGAUUCCACAAUGAUUUUUUUGGGAAGACUGAAAAUGAAUGGACAAAACCCAUUACAUCAUUGCUUCUAGGGCAAACUGGAAACAGAGAAAUACAUGCUAUGAGAAUCUAUGAUACUGUAGAUCCAAAUAUAACUGGUUUCCUGUAGUAUAGUCUUUCUAAAGGAGUGAAUUAUUAUAAAGUAAAUGAAUUUACUUCCUUUCAAAGAACAUUGAAAGAGUUCAAUUUCAUAACUCUUAUCUCUACUUAAUGAUGUAUUUUUGCUUUGAAGCCUUAUUGUUAAAUAUUUCAAGCACCACCAACCAGGGGAAAGACACAAGUUUAAUUAAUAUCUAUUAAUGAAAAAUGAUGUAUGAGAUAUACUGCUUAUUAAAACCAUCAUUAUAAAAUAGAAC